AGGUUGUGGUGUGGUUCAGCACCGGCUACAUCACCAUAAAGGACAUGGUGGUCACCGGCAUGCCCAUCAAGAUCGUCGGCGUUGCCGCUCUCAAGGUCCUGCUAUUUUCUGAAGUCAUGUGUGCUUGCACUUAUGAUGCGUUGACUCAAGAAAUAGAAGAGAUAUUUCUAUUUUCUGAAGUCAAUCUCAAUUAUUCACCUAUCCUUUUAUACAUGAGUAGAAGUCCUAAUAAGAGAAAACAAACUAUGGUACCUAAACAGUAGUAGAUAUCAAUAUCAAUAUUUGAGCUAUAACGAUUACUUGAUCUUUAUGGCAUGGACGAUGUGUUUGACAACACUAUUAACUUGUAAGAUCUGCUUGUUCUCCCUAUAUAUUGCAUGUGCUAGAUAGCUCUUAUCCAAACUUGUAGAAGUCUGCGUCAGUAGCACUUAUACUUCAUUUUUAAAUUCUCUAUUUUGUUAUGUGGGUUGAUGACACCAGUUAAUCAUGCUCUGUGUGUGUGUGUGUGUGUGUGUGUGUUAAAUUCAGGUAAGUUCAUGAUAUUCUAUAGUUCAGAAAUCAGGAUUGGUCAAUUUGAUUUUAAGUUAGGCAAACUAUACUAAUGCUAUUCUUUAGUGAAAUCUAGUUUCAUGUGUAAUCAUGCUCUCUCUCUCUCUCUCUGUGUGUGUGUGUGUGUGUGUGCGUGUGCGCGCGCGCGCCCCUAGGAAGUUGCAUGGACCCUCAGCUAUCGCGAAGUUUGAUCUUGUGGAGGGCGAGAAUAUCGAUUGAUGGACGUAUGGAGCUUGUAGUGCCACAUGGUCCUAACUGGUAAGUUGGUGGUGUGGAGUGUUGUCUCAUUAGUUGUUUGUUUUGGCACUAUAUAUAGUAGUCAACUCCAGUAGCACACAUACUUAAACUUUUGAAUUCUAUUUGGUUUUUCUUUUAUUUAUGGGUUGAGGCCAGUAGUUGAUCUUUGUUCUCUCUCUCCGCCCAGGUUGUGGUGUGGUUCAGCACCGGCUACAUCACCAUAAAGGACAUGGUGGUCACCGCCAUGCCCAUCA
rnacentral:lncRNA from 1 species